ACACUCCUGCGGGAGGCAGCAGUGGGGAAUUUUGGACAAUGGGCGCAAGCCUGAUCCAGCCAUGCCGCGUGCGGGAAGAAGGCCUUCGGGUUGUAAACCGCUUUUGUCAGGGAAGAAAAGGUUCUGGCUAAUACCUGGGACUCAUGACGGUACCUGAAGAAUAAGCACCGGCUAACUACGUGCCAGCAGCCGCGGUAAUACGUAGGGUGCAAGCGUUAAUCGGAAUUACUGGGCGUAAAGCGUGCGCAGGCGGUUAUGCAAGACAGAGGUGAAAUCCCCGGGCUCAACCUGGGAACUGCCUUUGUGACUGCAUGGCUAGAGUACGGUAGAGGGGGAUGGAAUUCCGCGUGUAGCAGUGAAAUGCGUAGAUAUGCGGAGGAACACCGAUGGCGAAGGCAAUCCCCUGGACCUGUACUGACGCUCAUGCACGAAAGCGUGGGGAGCAAACAGGAUUAGAUACCCUAGUAGUCCCAUGA
rnacentral:rRNA from 1 species